GCUCUUGUAGUCUAGAGGCCAAGGACACCGCCCUCUCGAAUCAAGAUACGCAGAGGAAAGGUCGAUGAGACUAUACCUCAGCCUUCUUUAAGGCAGGCUCUUUUGAGCCAUCACCUGCACUCAAAAAAGAGGUGAUGGAGAACGGCGGAAACCCGGGUUCGAAUCCCGGCAGGAGCA
rnacentral:tRNA from 1 species